UACGUAGGGAGCGAGCGUUGUCCGGAUUCAUUGGGCGUAAAGAGCUCGUAGGCGGCUUGGUAAGUCGGAUGUGAAACCUCCAGGCUCAACCUGGAGUCGCCAUCCGAUACUGCCAUGGCUAGAGUCCGGUAGGGGCCCACGGAAUUCCUGGUGUAGCGGUGAAAUGCGCAGAUAUCAGGAGGAACACCGGUGGCGAAGGCGGGUCUCUGGGCCAUUACUGACGCUGAGGAGCGAAAGCGUGGGGAGCAAACAGG
rnacentral:rRNA from 1 species